UACGUAGGGGGCAAGCGUUGUCCGGAAUUAUUGGGCGUAAAGAGCGUGUAGGCGGUCCGGUAAGUCAGCUGUGAAAGUCAAGGGCUCAACCCUUGAAUGCCGGUUGAUACUGUCGGGCUAGAGUCCGGAAGAGGCGAGUGGAAUUCCCGGUGUAGCGGUGAAAUGCGUAGAUAUUGGGAAGAACACCCGUGGCGAAGGCGGUUCUCUGGGACGGUACUGACGCUGAGACGCGAAAGCGUGGGGAGCGAACAGG
rnacentral:rRNA from 1 species